rnacentral:tRNA from 1 species
GGCGCAUUCGUCUAGCGGUUAGGACACGGCUCUCUCAAGGCCGCGGCAGGGGUUCGAUUCCCCUAUGCGCUA